rnacentral:lncRNA from 1 species
AUCGAGACUAUGGGUUUUGUGAUAUGCUGAUUAUAAUCUUCCUGGUUGUAAGUAUGUCUUGUAAUGUUAUGAAUGCACUUCAAUUCAAAUGUUUUUAUUUUUUAGUUGUGUGUAAAUUAUUUGACAAAAGUUCUAUAUGUCAAACCCAUGUUACUAUACGUACCAAAAAACUCUUUAAACAUUAAAUUGAUUGUUAUUGUUAAAAUAUAGGUCAUGAACACUACUUAACAGAGAGUAUAGAUUUAAACCGAAGUUUGGAUAUAACAUGUAUAAUUCGUAACAUCACAUUCACUGGCAGAUCUAGAAAUUUUCAUAAGUGGGGGCCCACUGACUGCCUAAGAGUAAUAAAUCUGUAUAGCCAAAUGACACCCUUCAGACAAUCAGUGUCAAGUAUUACAAAUAAAAUACAUGCAUGUUAAACCCCAUUAAAGAUCGAGAAUCAGUCAAUGGGCACAGAUUUUGGUAAAAGAUUGUAUACAACUUUGGUUCAAUAAAUUAUAAUUUUUUGGAACCUCUUUGGUCUUCAGUGCUCUUCAACUUUGUAUUUGUUUUGGCUUUCGAACUUUUUUCAUCUGAGCGUCAUUGGUUAGUCUUGUGUGUACGAAACAAGACUAACCAAUGACGCUCAGAUGAAAAAAGUUCGAAAGCCAAAACAAAUACAAAGUUGAAGAGCACUGAAGACCAAAGAGGUUCCAAAAAAAUUAUAAUUUAUUGAACCAAAGUUGUAUACAAUCUUUUACCAAAAUCUGUGCCCAUUGACUGAUUCUCGAUCUUUAAUGGGGUUUAACAUGCAUGUAUUUUACGUCUGGCGUAUUAAACAUAAUACUUUUUGUUAGCUAUUAUUCGUGUGUUUUUCUGUCCUAUAUUUUCUUCAUUUAUUUGUAUUGUAAUCUUGUCAUGUAAUGUUGUCAUUUUAAUGUUAUAUUUAGCAUUGCCAUCAAAGCGGGAGGUUUGGCAUGCCACAAAACCAGGUUCAAACCAUAAUUUUUUUCUUAAAAUGUCCUUUACCAAGUCAGAUCUUUUCUGGUGUACUUUAGUAUAAGCCUGUGUUAUUGAGUUUUCAAUUUGUUUGUCACAUCAGUGAUGGUUGUUUUACUUAGACCUCGGUCGCCGAGUGGUUUACAUUUUGCAAGUAGUUACUACUGUAAUCACUAGCCAGUCACCACUGAGGUUGUGAGUUCGAAUCCCGCUCGUGCGUGUGCACUCACGACUCUAAUCUUAAUUGACUAGGGUUGUCAGUUUUCCUAUCGAUCGUCGAUGGUUUUCUCCGGGCACUCCGGCUUCCUCCACUUAUAUAAACUGUUUUAUGCUUCUAGACAAUUUAUAUUUUGCCAUAAACACGAGUUGUACUCUCUGAAUCGUAUCAUUUGUUUUAUUUUUGUUUGUUGUUUUUAAUAAAAGAGAUGUAUAUGAUAUGAUGGUAACAAAAUGUACAAUGAUUAAAGUAUCGAACACUAAGAGAAUUUAAAACGGAAAAUCCCUCAUCAAAUGGUAAAAUUAAAUGCUCAAACACAUCAAACGAAUCGAGAACAACUGUCAUAUUCUUGACCUGGUACAGACAUUUAAAUAAGAAGAAAAUGGUUGUUCUAGCUAGCUGAACCUCUCACUUGUUUGAUAGUCUCAUUCCAUUCCGUUAAAAUGACCUUCGACCUCACCCCUUUGGAUUUUAUUUAACCACUAUGGAUUCGUAGUGGGUCAGUAGCGAACCAUAUAAUAACUUCUAAUACAACUUCAAAUUGACUUUUGAUUUGAACUAAGAAAUGUAUCAUUUCAGAGUAAUGGCAUGUAACUGGAAUGUUUGUGGAGUUUGUGAACUACGCAAUAACAAUAAACAGUCAGUCAUCUGGUGUUCAGAUUGUGAGGAGGGUCUCUGUGAUGAUUGUAAGGACCAUCAUAGUUUAUCCAAAGGAACACGUAAUCAUGAAACCGUGACGAUUGCUGAGUACCAGAAAUUACCAAGUAACGUUAUUCAAAUCGCUCAGUCCUGCAGAAAACAUGAUCAAAAGUAUUACUUUUUUUGUGAGAAGCAUGAUUGUCCAUGCUGUAAACGAUGCAUAGUAGAGGAUCAUAAUAAAUGUGAAGAUUUAAAAGAUAUAGAUAAUGUCAUCAGCGGUAUAAAGUCUUCAAAUGCAUUCCAAGAUAUUGAGAAGACUCUGAACGAAGUGAAAGAGCAUAUCCAAAUAAUACGAAAAGACCGUAAAGAAAAUUUUGCGUCUUUGAAAGAACAAAAGAAGCACAUUGGAAUGGAGAUUCAACAAGCUAAAACCUCAAUCAAUAAUCACCUAGACAAACUCCAUCAGGCAGUACUGAGAGAUCUUGACGCAUCAGAGGAGACAGAGAGUAUGAAAACUCGUCAGUUACUGAGUGAAGUGGAGAAAAAGGAAAAAGAGAUUGAAGAAUUGCAAGCUGGAUUAGCUAAUAUUAAGCAGUAUGCUUCCGAUUUGCAAACAUUCCUGGCAGUAAAGCAAAUGGAAUGCGAUUUAUCAGAGCAAGAGCAUUUCGUUCAGUCGAUAAUUAAAAGCGAAAAAUUGAAUCAUCCACAAAUAUCUUUAAAAAUCGACACGAUUUUACAGAAUUUUUCGAUUGAUAUCAAAUCCUUUGGGGAAAUAAUCGUUGAUUAUGAGCCGACCAAGCUUAUCUUAAGUAGACAAAAAGAUCAACAGGCCCAACAGAUGAUUGCCGCCCCGGUGAAGUCCAUUGAUAACCUGACACUAACCUUACGGCAGACUGUCAACACGGAUGCCAC